GGCAGGGUGACGCAAUGGUUAGAGUGUUGGACUGUGACUUGGGAGACAAGGUUUUGAAUCCCUACUCAGCCA